UACGGGGGGAGCAAGCGUUGUUCGGAUUUACUGGGCGUAAAGGGCGCGUAGGCGGCCACGACAAGUCACUUGUGAAAUCUCCGGGCUUAACUCGGAACGGUCAAGUGAUACUGUCGGGCUAGAGUGCAGAAGGGGCAACUGGAAUUCUCGGUGUAGCGGUGAAAUGCGUAGAUAUCAGGAGGAACACCGGUGGUGUAGACGGCUCACUGGACCAUAACUGACGCUGAGACACGAAAGCGUGGGUAGCAAACAGG
rnacentral:rRNA from 1 species